AAGGACUAGACCAUCAAUGGAGGGUGCUUCUCUAAGCUUGCUAAUGAACUUUCAUAACCAAACAACUUCUUUACCAGUAUCAAAUGUCGCAAAGAACUCCAUAUCACAAAUAAAAUUGACUACUAAAUACUGUAUAGAACCUUUCCAGCAUGUCGCUUCUCUUUUUAGGAUAAAAAAUAUAACUUGACACAACUUUGUCAUUUCGAUCCGAUUAGUAACUGAAAUCAAUAUUCCACAAAUUUUAAGUCAGAUUCUUCAUAAACGAACCAUUAAUCUUUAGUAUUUUACAAAUACUUAAGGAUAGUUCUAAUAACCUUCCAAACCUUUAUGA
rnacentral:lncRNA from 1 species